GCACUUUAUACAUAAGAACCAGAAGUGGGCAUUUAUUCUCAAUGCAACUUUUGUAAUUUUCACAAUGUAACAAUGUAAUUUAAUGUUUUGUUCAGUGCACGUAACAUUAGCUUUAAGGUAGUAGACUUGCGAACAGUGGGAUUGCUCGGUUUUCCUAAAAUUAACAUUUGGUUUGGAAUUUUCCCUCCAUUUGGUCCACAAAUCAAGUGGGAAGUAACA